GCUAAUACCGCAUAACGUCGCAAGACCAAAGAGGGGGACCUUCGGGCCUCUUGCCAUCAGAUGUGCCCAGAUGGGAUUAGCUAGUAGGUGGGGUAACGGCUCACCUAGGCGACGAUCCCUAGCUGGUCUGAGAGGAUGACCAGCCACACUGGAACUGAGACACGGUCCAGACUCCUACGGGAGGCAGCAGUGGGGAAUAUUGCACAAUGGGCGCAAGCCUGAUGCAGCCAUGCCGCGUGUAUGAAGAAGGCCUUCGGGUUGUAAAGUACUUUCAGCGAGGAGGAAGGCAUUGUGGUUAAUAACCGCAGUGAUUGACGUUACUCGCAGAAGAAGCACCGGCUAACUCCGUGCCAGCAGCCGCGGUAAUACGGAGGGUGCAAGCGUUAAUCGGAAUUACUGGGCGUAAAGCGCACGCAGGCGGUCUGUCAAGUCGGAUGUGAAAUCCCCGGGCUCAACCUGGGAACUGCAUUCGAAACUGGCAGGCUAGAGUCUUGUAGAGGGGGGUAGAAUUCCAGGUGUAGCGGUGAAAUGCGUAGAGAUCUGGAGGAAUACCGGUGGCGAAGGCGGCCCCCUGGACAAAGACUGACGCUCAGGUGCGAAAGCGUGGGGAGCAAACAGGAUAG
rnacentral:rRNA from 1 species